rnacentral:rRNA from 1 species
AUGUGGCGUCUAGACGUAAUGCAGAUGGGAAGAAAACAGAGAGCAAGCCCAGAAAACUUCAAGGACGCCAUGUCCGCGGAGAGACACCAGGGGGCUCGCCUCACGCCGGCCUCGGCAGCGCCAGCGGCGUCACCUCGGCGAGAGGCGUGGGCAUGGGGCUGGGCAGAGGCGACGUCCGGCACACCGGGCACGUGGGCCGCCGCCGGAGCCACGCGUCGACGCAGCCGCGGUGGAACAGGUGGCCGCAGUCCGGCAGCACCCGGACCACGUCGCUGUCCGCGUACCUCUCCAGGCAGACGGCGCAGCAGGCCGCGUGCUGCCCCUCCUCCGAGGCCGGCUUCCUCGCCUCCCUGUAGACCACCGCCGGGUACGCCUCCAGCGUCGCCGCGUCGAUGCCGCCGAGCUCGACGUCGCCGUUGCCGCGGCGGGGCGGCGCCGGCGCCGGAAUCCCGCGGGCGUCGGCCACCGGCAUGGACGACGAGGCGCGGGCGCAGCAGAGGUAGACGGCGAAGGCGACGGUGCAGACGAGGAGGAGGAUACCGACGGAGACGGCCAGGCCGUAGCCGAACCCGCCGGCGCCGCUCGACCCGAACAGGCCGUGCGGGGCGCCGGGCGGCGACGGGCCGCCGGUGCCCAUCGCUGCUCUCCGUGGAUGUUGUUAGCGACGUCAACGGGGAGGAGCUUUGCGUGGCGAGCUGUGGUCGAGGACGGGCGCAGGGAAGGUACAAGGCGUGGAGACGCAGGGGACGACGUGGCGUGUCUAGUCAGUCUCAAUGUAGCGUGGCUGGUUUGUUCAUCGGCGUUCCGAUUAAUUCGACGUUGAUGCGGAUUCGUUUGCUUCUGGAAGUGCAUCUUCGUGUGCUUAGGCUUUUGUUUACUCAAAUUUGCUAUUCCAGGGUGACAUGA